UACGUAGGGGGCAAGCGUUGUCCGGAAUCAUUGGGCGUAAAGAGCGUGUAGGCGGCCCGGUAAGUCCGCUGUGAAAGUCGGGGGCUCAACCCUCGAAUGCCGGUGGAUACUGUCGGGCUAGAGUCCGGGAGAGGAGAGUGGAAUUCCGUGGUGUAGCGGUGAAAUGCGCAGAUAUCAGGAGGAACACCGGUGGCGAAGGCGGUCUCUGGGCGAUUACCUGACGCUGAGAGCGAAAGUGUGGGGAGCGGAACAGGAUUAGAGUACCCCG
rnacentral:rRNA from 1 species